rnacentral:rRNA from 1 species
UUUCUUUGCUGGCGACCGGCGCACGGGUGAGUAACACGUAUCCAACCUGCCCCUUACUCGGGGAUAGCCUUUCGAAAGAAAGAUUAAUACCCGAUAGCAUAAUGAUUCCGCAUGGUUUCAUUAUUAAAGGAUUCCGGUAAAGGAUGGGGAUGCGUUCCAUUAGGUUGUUGGUGAGGUAACGGCUCACCAAGCCUUCGAUGGAUAGGGGUUCUGAGAGGAAGGUCCCCCACAUUGGAACUGAGACACGGUCCAA